rnacentral:rRNA from 1 species
CAGUAGCCGCGGUAAUACGUAGGUGGCAAGCGUUGUCCGGAAUUAUUGGGCGUAAAGGGCUCGCAGGCGGUUUCUUAAGUCUGAUGUGAAAGCCCCCGGCUCAACCGGGGAGGGUCAUUGGAAACUGGGAAACUUGAGUGCAGAAGAGGAGAGUGGAAUUCCACGUGUAGCGGUGAAAUGCGUUGAGAUCGGAAAGAACACCAACGGCGAAAGCACUCUGCUGGGCCGACACUGACACUGAGAGACGAAAGCUAGGGGAGCAAAUGGGAUUAGAUACCCCUGUAGUCCCUGUCUCUUAUAA